AUGGGCCAGAUGAAUGCUGUGGCAAGUCUCAAUUCGAGAGCGAAUGUCACCCUGGUUCUCGGAGGAGAGUCGUUCGCGGUCAGCUCUGAAUCUUGUACGCUGUCGGAGCAGCUAGCCGCGAUGAGGGAGAAGAGCAUGUUGAUCCUCAAGGGCUACAUCACCAAGCACAACGCUCCUAACGAUGUCUCUGAGGAAUCCAUCGAGGGCUCGUCCGAUGACGAAGGUAAAAGCUCUUCGAAGAAAUCUAAGAAGCAGAAAUAG
rnacentral:rRNA from 1 species